rnacentral:misc_RNA from 1 species
GCCUCAUGUAAUGCCGUUUUACCAGUGGGACCUCCAUAAGCCAGUAAUUGUGAAUUGGGAUGACGCAAUAGUUCAAAAGCUAUCUCCACAUUUCUACUUUUAACAGCUAGGUAAAGAGGAGAUUCCCCACGAUUAUUGGCAGAAUAUUUAAAUUCAUUUGGAUCUUCAUGAAUCAUCAUUGCUUCCACAACACCCAGACUUCUUUCAUUUCGUGCCGCCUCAUGCAAGGCCGUAUCUUUAUUUUCAUUUGUCAUCCUUAACAUCUUCCU